rnacentral:rRNA from 1 species
GGCAGUGAGACGGCGGGGGAUAAGCUCCGUGCGUCGAGAGGGAAACAGCCCAGAUCGCCGGCUAAGGCCCCUAAGCGUGUGCUAAGUGGAAAAGGAUGUGCAGUCGCAAAGACAACCAGGAGGUUGGCUUAGAAGCAGCCACCCUUGAAAGAGUGCGUAAUAGCUCACUGGUCAAGUGAUUGUGCGCCGAUAAUGUAGCGGGGCUCAAGCACACCGCCGAAGCCGCGGCAACGCAGCAAUGCGUUGGGUAGGGGAGCGUCCUGCAUCCGGUGAAGCCACGGAGUGAUCCAGUGGUGGAGGGUGUGGGAGUGAGAAUGCAGGCAUGAGUAGCGAUAAGGCAAGUGAGAACCUUGCCCGCCGAAAGACCAAGGGUUCCUGGGGCAGGCCAGUCCGCCCAGGGUGAGUCGGGACCUAAGGCGAGGCCGACAGGCGUAGUCGAUGGACAACGGGUUGAUAUUCCCGUACCCGUGUGUGAGCGCCCAAUGACGAAUCAUCGGUACUAACCGCCCAAAAGGUGACUAACCGAGUCCUUUUAGGACAAGGGGGUCGCCGGCUGCGCGGGACCUUCGGUGGUAGUAGUCAAGCGAUGGGGUGACGCAGGAAGGUAGCCGUACCAGUCAGUGGUAAUACUGGGGCAAACCUGUAGCGCGAGAUCUAGGCAAAUCCGGAUCUCUUCAUGCGUGAGAGGUGAUGCAUAGCCGAGUGAGGCGAAUUCGGUGAUCCUCAGCUGCCGAGAAAAGCCUCUAGCGAGCACACACACGGCCCGUACCCCAAACCAACACAGGUGGUCAGGUAGAGAAUACCGAGGCGUACGAGUGAACUAUGGUUAAGGAACUCGGCAAAAUACCCCCGUAACUUCGGGAGAAGGGGGACCCCCUGCGGUCAAGGCCCACGCGGCCGGCAGCGGCGGGGGGUGGCACAAACCAGUGAGAAGCGACUGUUUACUAAAAACACAGGUCCGUGCGAAGUCGCAAGACGAUGUAUACGGACUGACGCCUGCCCGGUGCUGGAAGGUUAAGAGGACCCGUUAACCCCUCGGGGUGAAGCGGAGAAUUUAAGCCCCAGUAAACGGCGGUGGUAACUAUAACCAUCCUAAGGUAGCGAAAUUCCUUGUCGGGUAAGUUCCGACCUGCACGAAUGGCGUAACGACUUCUCAACUGUCUCAACCAUAGACUCGGCGAAAUUGCACUACGAGUAAAGAUGCUCGUUACGCGCGGCAGGACGAAAAGACCCCGGGACCUUCACUAUAGCUUGGUAUUGGCGUUCGAUACGGUUUGUGUAGGAUAGGUGGGAGACUAUGAAACUCACACGCCAGUGUGGGUGGAGUCGUUGUUGAAAUACCACUCUGAUCGUAUUGGACUUCUAACCUCGAACCGUCUAUCCGGUUCAGGGACAGUGCCUGGUGGGUAGUUUAACUGGGGCGGUUGCCUCCUAAAAUGUAACGGAGGCGCCCAAAGGUUCCCUCAACCUGGACGGCAAUCAGGUGUU